rnacentral:lncRNA from 1 species
CUGCGUGUCCUGUGUGUGCACGUGAGCUUGUCCGUGGUGUAUGUUUGUGUGCAUGACCGUGUGACUGUGCCGUGCGUGUACAGGCGGGUCCUGGAUAUUCGCGCCGAACCCAGCACUCCGGUUCGACGGGGCUGCAGUUUGCAGGGCCCGGAUAACCGAGGCAGUGGCCCCUCCCGCGUCCCCAGGUUUCAAGGACGCUAGGACUCUCCGCGGCCCUGAGGCUUCGCACUGGGGAGUGGGGUGGGAUGGGGGGAAAGCGGGAGGGGGCUCAGGGUCCAGAAGGGCGCCGCGGUCUCGGGAGUAGGGGGGCAUCUGCGUCCCGCGGGAGGGGCUGGGGUGAGAGUGCGGGGCCAGUGCACCGGUGCCCGUGUAUCGCCCUCCCCAGGCCGCCAGGAUGGACGUGUUCAUGAAGGGCCUGUCCAUGGCCAAGGAGGGCGUUGUGGCAGCCGCGGAGAAAACCAAGCAGGGGGUCACCGAGGCGGCGGAGAAGACCAAGGAGGGCGUCCUCUACGUCGGAAGCAAGACCCGAGAAGGUGUGGUACAAGGUGUGGCUUCAGGUACUAGCCCAGCCCUGGCACCAGCCCUUCUCUCACUUAGGCGGAUGAUCUGGCCGGGAACCAGAGGGCGGGGGCGGGGGAGACUCCCAAGGCUUCUGCGGGAAUGCUCCGUGGGGAGGGCAGGCCCUGGGAUACUACAAGGCAGGGCAUCGGUGUUUCCCCCUGGCUCCCAAACCCCUUCCUCAACCCCCUCCCUGCUCCAGUGGCUGAAAAAACCAAGGAACAGGCCUCACAUCUGGGAGGAGCUGUGUUCUCUGGGGCAGGGAACAUCGCAGCAGCCACAGGACUGGUGAAGAGGGAGGAAUUCCCUACUGAUCUGAAGCCAGAGGAAGUGGCCCAGGAAGCUGCUGAAGAACCACUGAUUGAGCCCCUGAUGGAGCCAGAAGGGGAGAGUUAUGAGGACCCACCCCAG